GUAGGGAAUAUUGCGCAAUGGGGGAAACCCUGACGCAGCGACGCCGCGUGAGUGAUGAAGGCCUUCGGGUCGUAAAGCUCUGUUGCAGGGGAAUAAAAAAAUGAAGGUACCCUGUGAGGAAGGAUCGGCUAACUUCGUGCCAGCAGCCGCGGUAAGACGAGGGAUCCUAGCGUUGCUCGGAAUCAUUGGGCGUAAAGAGGGCGUAGUUGGCUUGGUAAGUCAGGUGUGAAAGCCCAGGGCUCAACCCUGGAAGUGCAUUUGAUACUGCUGAGCUUGAGUGUCGGAGAGGUUACCGGAAUACCUGGUGUAGUGGUGAAAUACGUAGAUAUCAGGUGGAACACCGGAGGCGAAGGCGGGUAACUGGACGAACACUGACACUGAGGCCCGAAAGCGUGGGGAUCAAACAGGAUUAGAUACCCGUGUAGUCC
rnacentral:rRNA from 1 species